GGCUUGAGUUAGCAAACGUCUAAAGAAGCGGACUGUAAAUCCGUCGCGAAAGCUUCACAGGUUCGAAUCCUGUACCUGCCACCA
rnacentral:tRNA from 1 species